CAGCAGUCGCCACGGUAAUACGUAGGUGGCAAGCGUUGUCCGGAAUUAUUGGGCGUAAAGGGCUCGCAGGCGGUUUCUUAAGUCUGAUGUGAAAGCCCCCGGCUCAACCGGGGAGGGUCAUUGGAAACUGGGAAACUUGAGUGCAGAAGAGGAGAGUGGAAUUCCACGUGUAGCGGUGAAAUGCGUAGAGAUGUGGAGGAACACCAGUGGCGAAGGCGACUCUCUGGUCUGUAACUGACGCUGAGGAGCGAAAGCGUGGGGAGCGAACAGGAUUAGAUACCCCCGUAGUCCCUGUCUCUUAUAC
rnacentral:rRNA from 1 species